GUCCAGACUCCUACGGGAGGCAGCAGUGGGGGAUAUUGCACAAUGGGGGAAACCCUGAUGCAGCGACGCCGCGUGAGUGAAGAAGUAAUUCGUUACGUAAAGCUCUAUCAGCAGGGAAGAAAAUGACGGUACCUGACUAAGAAGCCCCGGCUAACUACGUGCCAGCAGCCGCGGUAAUACGUAGGGGGCAAGCGUUAUCCGGAUUUACUGGGUGUAAAGGGAGCGUAGACGGCAGUGCAAGUCCGGAGUGAAAGCCCGGGGCUCAACCCUGGGACUGCUCUGGAAACUGUAAAGCUGGAGUGCGGGAGGGGCAGGCGGAAUUCCUGGUGUAGCGGUGAAAUGCGUAGAUAUCAGGAGGAACACCGGUGGCGAAGGCGGCCUGCUGGACUGCGACUGACGUUGAGGCCCGAAAGCGUGGGGAGCAAACAGGAUUAGAUACCCUUGUAA
rnacentral:rRNA from 1 species